GACGAACGCUGGCGGCGUGCUUAACACAUGCAAGUCGAACGGAAAGGCCCUGCUUUUGUGGGGUGCUCGAGUGGCGAACGGGUGAGUAACACGUGAGUAACCUGCCCUUGACUUUGGGAUAACUUCAGGAAACUGGGGCUAAUACCGGAUAGGAGCUCCUGCUGCAUGGUGGGGGUUGGAAAGUUUCGGCGGUUGGGGAUGGACUCGCGGCUUAUCAGCUUGUUGGUGGGGUAGUGGCUUACCAAGGCUUUGACGGGUAGCCGGCCUGAGAGGGUGACCGGCCAAAUUGGGACUGAGAUACGGCCCAGACCCCUACGGGGGGCAGCAGGGGGGAAUAUUGCACAAUGGGCGGAAGCCUGAUGCAGCAACGCCGCGUGCGGGAUGACGGCCUUCGGGUUGUAAACCGCUUUCGCCUGUGACGAAGCGUGAGUGACGGUAAUGGGUAAAGAAGCACCGGCUAACUACGU
rnacentral:rRNA from 1 species